UACGUAGGGUGCAAGCGUUGUCCGGAAUUAUUGGGCGUAAAGAGCUCGUAGGCGGCUUGUCGCGUCGGCUGUGAAAACCUGGGGCUCAACCCCGGGCCUGCAGCCGAUACGGUCAAGCUAGAAUUCGGUAGGGGAGACUGGAAUUCCUGGUGUAGCGGUGAAAUGCGCAGAUAUCAGGAGGAACACCGGUGGCGAAGGCGGGUCUCUGGGCCGAAAUUGACGCUGAGGAGCGAAAGCAUGGGGAGCGAACAGG
rnacentral:rRNA from 1 species